rnacentral:rRNA from 1 species
UACGUAGGGCGCAAGCGUUGUCCGGAAUUAUUGGGCGUAAAGAGCUCGUAGGCGGUUUGUCACGUCGGCUGUGAAAACCCGAGGCUCAACCUCGGGCCUGCAGUCGAUACGGGCAAACUAGAGUGCGGUAGGGGAGACUGGAAUUCCUGGUGUAGCGGUGAAAUGCGCAGAUAUCAGGAGGAACACCAGUGGCGAAGGCGGUGCUCUGGGCCGGAACUGACGCUGAGGAGCGAAAGCGUGGGGAGCGAACAGG